AACGCACAUUGCGCCCGCCAGCAUUCUGGCGGGCAUGCCUGUCCGAGCGUCAUUUCAACCCUCAGGGCCCCCCUUCGCGGGGCGGGACCUGGUGUUGGGGGCCGGCCGCCCUGCGCGCGCCGCCCCCGAAAUGCAGUGGCGACCUCGCCGCAGCCUCCCCUGCGUAGUAGCACAACCUCGCACCGGAGCGCGGAGACGGUCACGCCGUAAAACGCCCAACUUUCAAGAGUUGACCUCGGAUCAGGUAGGAAUACCCGCUGAACUUAA
rnacentral:misc_RNA from 1 species